rnacentral:rRNA from 1 species
UACGGAGGAUGCGAGCGUUAUCCGGAUUUAUUGGGUUUAAAGGGUGCGUAGGUUGUUUUUUAAGUCAGCGGUGAAAGUUUGUGGCUCAACCAUAAAAUUGCCGUUGAAACUGGAAGACUUGAGUGUGUUUGAGGUAGGCGGAAUGCGUGGUGUAGCGGUGAAAUGCAUAGAUAUCACGCAGAACCCCGAUUGCGAAGGCAGCCUGCCAAGCCAUGACUGACGCUGAUGCACGAAAGCGUGGGGAUCGAACAGG